UCAUAUAGAGACCGAAGAAAGAUGCGUGCCUACUUCAGCUGGAAAUUUUUUUUGACAGCUUUAUGGGGCAUGUCAUACUAUGUAUUCCGAAAAUAUGCCAGACGCAGAUGCAAGCGCGACACAUAUGUCACCAUAAUCCUCCAAGUUUCAUUAUUCCCUGAGGAUAACAAUGCAAGAAGCUGAGUGAAAGAGUUGAUAUGCUGACUGUACAAAAAUCGGCAGGAAAUAUUAGUAUUAUAUUAUAUUUAAUUAACGACUUUUCUACUGGUAUUUAUAUUGUGCUUCACUUUGUAGUGAUCGAUGUUAAAGGUUGUGUUUUAGGAAUUCUUGAGCUUAGGACUCUUGAGACCUAAGCGUACAUUGAAAAUACACUGAAAGUUUAAAGAAUAAUACGAGAUGAAUAUUCAUGUUCCUGCCUUCCUGCCUCGCAAUCUUUUCUGUCUAAACUUUUUUAGGCACUUCCUUUUUGUCGUCGUAGAGACCUUACACAGAGACAAAAAGAAGAUACUCAAAAGUGACGAAUGCCGUUAGCAACAGUACGCUGCUCUGUUCGGUGUCUUCGCAAAAACAGCAAAUGACGUUCUCGCUUAGGUCUUUCCAGGGAUGCCACUGACCUAGCUCUAUAACCCCAAUUACUGGACAACCAAACAUUGGCAGUAGGAAGGAGCACGUAAAGCGGAUACAGUAAGCUACCAGAGGUAUGAUAUGAGAGACUGGCAGCAGUGACUGGAUAAUGCAAAUGGAAGAUUAGAAAACCUUUGGUUCCUGCUAUAAUACAACCAGCGUUGUCAGCUCAGGUUUAUACAGACAGUGCUUUUGGGGUGACAAAUCACGCUUCGCCAUUGCCGCCAGACGCGAAGGAAAAAUCGCAAAAGAGUUCAUAUGACUAAUGAUAAUUUUAUUAGAAGCUAUGCCACCAAACGGCGCUAUCGAACUAGUGGGUUCGAAAGUGGUAAAGGAAGAACUCAUUCGACCCUUCGAAGGAAGACUUUUGUGUACUAGCUUUCGCGUA